rnacentral:rRNA from 1 species
UACGGGGGGGGCAAGCGUUGUUCGGAAUUACUGGGCGUAAAGGGCUCGUAGGCGGCCAACUAAGUCGGAUGUGAAAUCCCCAAGCUUAACUUGGGGACUGCAUCCGAUACUGGAUGGCUUGAAUCCGGGAGAGGGAUGCAGAAUUCCAGGUGUAGCGGUGAAAUGCGUAGAUAUCGGGAGGAACACCUGAGGCGAAGGCGGGCUACUGGGCUGAUACUGACGCUGAGGCGCGAAAGCUAGGGGAGCAAACGGG